rnacentral:rRNA from 1 species
CCUACGGGAGGCAGCAGUGGGGGAUAUUGCACAAUGGGGGGAACCCUGAUGCAGCGACGCCGCGUGGGUGAAGGAGCGUUUCGGCGCGUAAAGCCCUAUCGGCAGGGAAGAAGGAGGACGGUACCUGACUCAGAAGCCCCGGCUAACUACGUGCCAGCAGCCGCGGUAAUACGUAGGGGGCAAGCGUUAUCCGGAUUUACUGGGUGUAACGGGGGCGCAGACGGCAGCGCAAGCCAGGAGUGAAAGCCCGGGGCCCAACCCCGGGACUGCUCUUGGAACUGCGCGGCUGGCGUGGAGGAGGGGCAGGCGGAAUUCCUGGUGGAGCGGUGAAAUGCGUAGAUAUCAGGAGGAACACCGGUGGCGAAGGCGGCCUGCUGGACUGCGACUGACGUUGAGGCCCGAAAGCGUGGGGAGCAAACAGGAUUAGAUACCCUUGUAGU